rnacentral:rRNA from 1 species
GGAAUAUUGGUCAAUGGACGAAAGUCUGAACCAGCCAUGCCGCGUGCAGGAUGAAUGCCCUAUGGGUUGUAAACUGCUUUCAUACAGGAAGAAACUUUUCUACGUGUAGAAAACUGACGGUACUGUAUGAAUAAGGAUCGGCUAACUCCGUGCCAGCAGCCGCGGUAAUACGGAGGAUCCAAGCGUUAUCCGGAUUUAUUGGGUUUAAAGGGUCCGUAGACGGGACAAUAAGUCAGUGGUGAAAGCCUAUAGCUUAACUAUAGAACUGCCAUUGAUACUGUUGUUCUUGAAUAUACUUGAAGUGGGCGGAAUAAGUCAUGUAGCGGUGAAAUGCUUAGAUAUGACUUAGAACACCGAUUGCGAAGGCAGCUCACUAAAGUACUAUUGACGCUGAGGGACGAAAGCGUGGGGAGCGAA